ensembl:lncRNA
AUGGCACCCAUCAUGGAGGGCACACAUACUGUGUUGCUCCUAUAUGCACCCAUCCGUGAGCUAAGCAACAUCAGCCUGUAUUUUGCCAAGAGGCAGGCUCUGAGCUUCAAGUACAAGAGCCGCUCCCCUCAUUCAGAAAGGGCCGGUAAUGACCAUGACCGGGGAAAGGAGGAUCUCGUAGUGUCCGAACAAAGAGGCCAGUCUUCCAGCUCCUCAGGCGAACUCCUCAUCUGCCAGCAGGCUACGAAGGAGGCAGUUGCAGAGCUCUGCUGGCUGGCGGCAGAGCACCACCAGUUGCUGGCUGAUCUCUUAUCACUGUGUAGGGAUUGCGCCAUCAAAGUCAGGAUGGGUAACCAGGAUGGGAAACUCCAGGAUUACAUGGAGUGUCAGGAAGUUCACCUUGGAGGUCAGAUCCUCGGCAGCAGCAAGUAUGUGUCUCCGGAGCACAAGAGAGCUACAUUCAAGAGCAAAAAGCUGAAGAAGUUGGGAGGCAAGAAGCUUGACAGCGGUGAGGAUUUCCUGCACAGUAAAAUGAAGAAGAAAGUUCCGAGUGGAACUUCAUCUAAUCAGUUUCCUGCUCAAAAAAGUAGGUCCAUAUCUUCAGCCUCAGUAAUGCAGCAGAUCCCAGGUACCCCAGCCUCUGGCCAUGUCCCAGUUGCCGGCUCUUAUGUCAGUGCACCAAAUAAUCCCAUCCUUUCCAUGGAGGAACCUUUCCAAUCUGCUCGUGAUGGUUGGGACUUCAUGGAGGACAACCGGGCAUUUGACCCUGACAUUGAUUUCUGCAAUGAUUUCUCGGAGUAUGACGGUGAGCUGGGUUAUGAGUCGUCCUUCUGCAACCUGAUGGAGGGUCUCACCCGACGGGAAAGCGGGAGCAACCUUCGACCAAUUAAGGGGUCUGAUUGCUUGGGUGAGACAUUAUCUGAGAAUGCAUCAACAGUCAAGUCCGCUCAGCAACUGUAUGGUGAAAUCAACCAGGCCAACACAGGGGUCAGACUGGUGGCCAAAGUGCAGGAUACGGAAGGGAGUGUGCAACAUGCCAACCAUACAAGCCCAGGGCCAGCUGGGCUACAUCUAGGGACUAGCAGCUGCCAGCAGGGGUAUGGAGAGGGGAGAGGACCAAACCUGCUGGGAGUCAAUAGAGAAAAGAUUGGUAACAAGCUUUCUCAAGGGCUACGGUUGCCACUAUCCCAUACCACCGAACCUUACCCACCAGUCAAAUCUCACAAAAAAAGCCCCUCUUCACCAUCUCUCGCUGGGGUCUUCAACACAUCUUUCCCUGCCUCCAACAGUCUCCACAGCAUGUCCCCAGUCCUGUCCCCUCUGUCCGCCAAGCUGACAAGCCCACAACUCAACCACCGCAUUGUUCUGCUCUCGGAUAAGGAUGUGGACCCUGAUCAAGACAGCUCCAGCAACACAGAUGAGCCCAAAAUCUUCACCGACAAGAACGGCAACAAGCGAUCCUUCACCCGUCUGGAUCUGAACCUCAGCCGGCGGCCCAGCAACUCCAAGUGGAACUCCCCAGCAACUCCAAGUGGAACUCCCCCAGCAACUCCACAACAACAACAGGUGAGCCACUAG